AGAGUUUGAUCAUGGCUCAGAUUGAACGCUGGCGGCAGGCCUAACACAUGCAAGUCGAGCGGAUGAAGGGAGCUUGCUCCUGGAUUCAGCGGCGGACGGGUGAGUAAUGCCUAGGAAUCUGCCUGGUAGUGGGGGAUAACGUCCGGAAACGGGCGCUAAUACCGCAUACGUCCUGAGGGAGAAAGUGGGGGAUCUUCGGACCUCACGCUAUCAGAUGAGCCUAGGUCGGAUUAGCUAGUUGGUGGGGUAAAGGCCUACCAAGGCGACGAUCCGUAACUGGUCUGAGAGGAUGAUCAGUCACACUGGAACUGAGACACGGUCCAGACUCCUACGGGAGGCAGCAGUGGGGAAUAUUGGACAAUGGGCGAAAGCCUGAUCCAGCCAUGCCGCGUGUGUGAAGAAGGUCUUCGGAUUGUAAAGCACUUUAAGUUGGGAGGAAGGGCAGUAAGUUAAUACCUUGCUGUUUUGACGUUACCAACAGAAUAAGCACCGGCUAACUUCGUGCCAGCCGCCGCGGUAAUAC
rnacentral:rRNA from 1 species